UGUAAUUUACAACAGCAAUUUUUUGCUUCACUAGGUUUUUCCAUACAUAUGGCAUUCGGCAAUUCUGUUAAUAAUGUAAUAAUAAGCUGUUAUUUCAAGAAUAUAACUAACAUCACCAAGUAUAUGAUUAUACCUUAUUAAACGAAAACAUACUCCCUCUUUAUGGGAAGUUCCGUAUGAUAGAUCAAAACUUGAUCCCAUAUGUGAAGGAUAUAAAGUUGCUAUAUAAGAGUAAAAUAUACCAAAUAAUAUUCAUCAGUCAACUCAACAACAAUGCAGUUCAACUUGAAAGUCAUCUUUGCUCUUUUAUCCAUCUUUGCUCUUGCCAUGCCCAUGGCCUUAGGAGAACAAAAAGGUACGUUCAUAUAGUGUAGUUAACUAUUAGUUUUUAUUGCCAAAAUCAUUAUUUUAUAGGUAAACCUGGAAAGAGAAGUAUUCGAGCCGCAAAAGGACAUGCCAAGGGCCAAACGACUUCAACUUAAGUUCAAAAUGACAGGGGAUAUUAUUCAUUUAUAACCCUUUGUCUAAUUUCUUGAAUUCUAAAGAUACUAGCCAUGAAAUAUAGCUAUUUAAAAAACAA
rnacentral:lncRNA from 1 species